rnacentral:snRNA from 1 species
UAUUUAUUUUGUUUAGUAUUUAA